rnacentral:rRNA from 1 species
UACGGAGGGGGCAAGCGUUGUCCGGAUUCAUUGGGCGUAAAGAGCGUGUAGGUGGCUUUACAGGUCCGUUGUGAAAACUCGAGGCUCAACCUCGAGACGCCGGUGGAAACCGUAAAGCUAGAGUCCGGAAGAGGAGAGUGGAAUUCCUGGUGUAGCGGUGAAAUGCGCAGAUAUCAGGAGGAACACCCGUGGCGAAAGCGGCUCUCUGGGACGGUACUGACGCUGAGACGCGAAAGCGUGGGGAGCAAACAGG